rnacentral:rRNA from 1 species
GUCCUGCCUGCCCUGUGACCAUGAGUUUAACGGCCGCGGUAUUUUAACCGUGCGAAGGUAGCGCAAUCACUUGUCCUUUAAAUGAGGACCAGUAUGAAUGGCAAGACGAGGGCUUGACUGUCUCCUCUUUCAAGUCAAUGAAAUUGAUCUCUCCGUGCAGAAGCGGGGAUACAGACAUAAGACGAGAAGACCCUGUGGAGCUUUAGACACCAAGACAAAUCACGUUAAGGGCCCCUAAAUAAAGGACUGAACUAAGUGAAAUCUUGCUCUGAUGUCUUUGGUUGGGGCGACCACGGGGAAAGAAAAAACCCCCACGUGGAAUAGGAGCACUUUCCUCCCACAGCUGAGAGCUACAACUCUAAGCAACAGAACAUCUGACCUUAAGAUCCGGCUUUUCUGCCGAUCAACGGACCCAGUUACCCCAGGGAUAACAGCGCAAUCCCCUUUUAGAGCCCAUAUCGACAAGGGGGUUUACGACCUCGAUGUUGGAUCAGGACAUCCUAAUGGUGCAGCCGCUAUUAAGGGUUCGUUUGUUCAACGAUUAAAGUCCUACGUGAUCUG